rnacentral:rRNA from 1 species
AUUGAACGCUGGCGGCAGGCCUAACACAUGCAAGUCGAGCGGGGUUUUCGGACCUAGCGGCGGACGGGUGAGUAAUGCGUAGGAAGCUACCCGAUAGAGGGGGAUACCAGUUGGAAACGACUGUUAAUACCGCAUAAUGUCUACGGACCAAAGCGUGGGACCUUCGGGCCACAUGCUAUCGGAUGCGCCUACGUGGGAUUAGCUAGUUGGUGGGGUAAUGGCUCACCAAGGCGACGAUCCCUAGCUGGUUCGAGAGGAUGAUCAGCCACACUGGAACUGAGACACGGUCCAGACUCCUACGGGAGGCAGCAGUGGGGAAUAUUGGACAAUGGGCGCAAGCCUGAUCCAGCCAUGCCGCGUGUGUGAAGAAGGCCUUCGGGUUGUAAAGCACUUUCAGUAGGGAGGAAGGGUGUUGUGUUAAUAGCACAGCAUUUUGACGUUACCUACAGAAGAAGCACCGGCUAACUCUGUGCCAGCCGCCGCGGUAACAC